GUUGGGAAACUUACAGAACUAGUAUUGGAAAGUUGCUUUCUCUACACGGUGAGACUAAGGACCUUGCAGAAACUUAUAAACAUUGCGUUGAUAUCGACUUUGACAAUGUUCCUGAUGACGCUGGGUUUCACAUGACAUGCUACCAGUGAUUUAUUUGCAAAAGGCGUUUGAGAAACAAGAACAUGAUGCAGUCGCAGGUCAGUCAAACCCUUCAGGCAGCAUCGCCGAUGCAUCCAUGUCCACGGCAUCUGAAACUCUGUGAAAGAAACUUCACUGCCUAGAAGUGCCUAGAAAGUGAAUUUCGUUCAACUACGCUGGUGCUGCUUGUUCAAUGCAUUUUUGCAUAGACAAUACCAUUCUGGACUUUGGGUUAAAAUAUCUACCUAGACUAUCUGUCAGACUUUUGUCACCAGCCAGAAAUGUACAUAUAUGUGAGUAACACAAAACACAAUUAUAUGGUGCUGCUGUUUUUGCUUGUCGAAACUGCUAUGUUUAUUCUGGCAAGACAAAAUCUUUCUCAAAUGUCAUAAAUACAUCUACCUAACAUCUGAAACAGUCAUUGGUGCCUUAGUAUACGAUAAGUGAAUUCAGAUUAUGAAAUGUAGCAAAUUUCUUGAAGAAAACGUCUCAACUCAAGUGAUUUGCACCCAGCACAAUGAAAUAUAUAAGGGGUCCCCUCUUGGCAAUUUAAAAAAAAAAAUUAAGUCACAUUUCAAGUUACAUUGUAGUAAAAGACCUAAAAAGAAAAAUUUCUAUUCUAUUUUUGUUUUAUUAAAAUGACCAGAAAUAGGGGUCCACUCUUGGUCAGUCUGGGCUGAUAGUCCACUGUUGGUCAGGUAAGAUUGUGUGUGUGUGUGUGUGUGUGUGUGUGUGUGUGUGUGUGUGUGUGUGUGUGUGUGUGUGUGUGUGUGUGUGUGUGUGUGUGUGUGUGUGUGUGUGUUAUUUAAAGACUUCUGCUCCUCUUACUCUGGGAACUGUCAAGACACUAAUAUUAGUAAUGAUUUUUUUAAAAUACCUGCAGAUGUGACCUAUACACCCCACCAUCGAUGACAGAGCACUCCUACAAUUCACCAAUCAUUGACAGAAAAGAGGAAUACCUGGGGUCUAGUUCAGGUACCAUCAAUUUUUAAAAAUUUGCAUAUGAAGACAAGACCUUAUGUGUUUCUAUUUGUUCAUUAACCUCCCUUUGUUAGCCUUAAGAGGCAUUUUUGAAUGCUCAAAGAGGACAGAUGUUGUUCACAACUGUCUCAUUACAUGCCCUCUUGGUUCUGUUUGUUUGCCAUAUGAUGUCUUAAACCCAAUUUAAGACGGAGACAGAAGAAAAAAAUGUUAAAAUACAACAUUUUAUUUAAUCAUGAGUACCAUGACACAAAAUAUGACAUACUGCACGUGUUAUUGAGAUAAAUGCUGUAAGCCACUGACAUGUUCAUUAUUAGGAUAUGAUUACUGAUGUGUGUUUUGAAAGGUAGUGAUGCACAAGUGAGGCAGUUUCAGAGAUGUUGGCCCCAUAACUCAGCUCUCUUUUCUUUUAUUAGAACAACUCAGCUGGGAGCCAUGUGAAAAAAUACUCUGGGUGCCAUCCAUCUGGAUUACUGUCCAGACUCUUCCUUGUGUGCCAUCCUGAAACAAUUAGACUGCAGUUAAACUUUCUCAGCCUGAAUCAUCUGCUCAGCUCCAUGAACGCCGUCACUGUCAUAUUUCUCAGAGUUCCUUCCAUUUUUUCUCACAUCUGUCAUGCUGAACUCUAUUUAUCCAUUACCUUUGCCAGCUCUCUCACACUAUGCCUGGUUCUCUCCUGAGUCACCUUCACUCCUCCUCCACCUCCUCCUCUGCUGUGUUUUAUGGCUAAAAGCUGUUAUUCCGCUCGGCUGCAGCCCGACUCCUCUCUAUAAUAUUUCAUUCAUCAGAACAAUUAAAGCGGAACAUUGGUUUCCAGGGUGAUAAUUAGGCUUUGAUGUGUGAACCUGAACGCCACCAGGACAAGACAGCUUGAUUACUCUCAUUUGCCCGUCUCUGUGCUGUUCCAGGGUUAUUAUCCAUUGUCUUGUCAAGCAAAUAGAGGAAGAAAACAGCCAUGAAAUGGAGAGAGGUGAGACCUAGAGAGACAGAUGGAAAUAGAAGUAUAAAGGUAGGAAGAGUCAUGAGAGAGUUUGUCGGGGAUGAGUGGCUUGUAAUGGGACCGGGUCUUUUGGAUAGCGAUACACCACAUUAACUCAGUCUCCCGCUGCUUUUCAGUCAAACACCCGUGGCCUUUCCAACCCCAUGAACGGCAACAGGGAACUUCAUCAACUUUUCAGUGGGCUUCAAGUUGCAAUUUUAGAUGUUUUUUAGACUGUUGAAGAACACUUUUAUUCAUUAAUAUACUUUUUAAAGCUCCACACAGAGUUUCAUACAUGACACAAGUGCCCUUAACCUGAGUGUUGUUUUUAAACCAAACUAAAUACUUGUGAAGAGUGAAAUAGAAUUCACCUGAGAAUUUUACCUGAAAAAGACUGAAAAAUGGUCAAUGCAUAUAAAAACAAAGUUUUAUUGUUCAAAACCAUUACGCCCUUUUUUUAAUUUAAAAAGCACAAAGACAACACAUUAUAGAUUAAUAUGUAAAUUGAAGUUGUAUGCAAAAACAUGCCUAUUCUAGAUUUAAUGUGAGCAACAUAUCGAUAGUGGUUGUGAUUUUGAGCCCAUGCAGUGAAUUCCACUAAAAAGUCAUGUCUGUUUUUUUUUUCUGCAGUGCUGCUUGAGGCUCCAAGGAUCAUCUACUAUUUGCUAUUUGGCUUUGCUAAAAAGAUAUUUUUCUAGAUUCUUUAAAUGAUUUAAUGAUAUUAUACUUUUACACAAACAAACAUUAUCCUGUUGGAUGAUUUGCUAACACAGUUGCUAGACCCAAUAGACCCAGCUUUUCUGGACUACCUUUGUACACCUUGUCAUGUCUCAAAGCAGUUGUAAAUUAGCCUUCAUGUUUUGAUUCUGUCUGAACAUUUUUGAC